CCUACGGGAGGCAGCAGUAGGGAAUAUUGGGCAAUGGAGGCAACUCUGACCCAGCCAUGCCGCGUGCAGGAAGACGGUCCUCUGGAUUGUAAACUGCUUUUGAAUGGGAAGAAUGUGCUCCUUGCGAGGGGUAAUGACGGUACCAUUAGAAUAAGCCACGGCUAACUACGUGCCAGCAGCCGCGGUAAUACGUAGGUGGCGAGCGUUAUCCGGAUUUAUUGGGUUUAAAGGGUGCGUAGGCGGCUUAAUAAGUCGGUGGUUAAAAGUAGCAGCUUAACUGUUUUACAUGCCAUCGAUACUGUUGAGCUUGAGAUAUUUGGAGGCAGCUAGAAUUUCCGGUGUAGCGGUGAAAUGCAUAGAUACCGGAAGGAAUACCAAUUGCGAAGGCAGGUUGCUACGAAUAAACUGACGCUGAUGCACGAAAGCGUGGGGAUCAAACAGGAUUAGAUACCCUGGUAGUCCACGCCGUAAACGAUGAUUACUAGUUGUUGGGGUUUAAGCCUCAGUGACCAAGGGAAACCGAUAAGUAAUCCACCUGGGGAGUACGCCGGCAACGGUGAAACUCAAAGGAAUUGACGG
rnacentral:rRNA from 1 species